UUUCACUCAUUCUUUUAGACAAUUUCAGAGAGCAGGGAAGUUCUUUGCAACAUAAAAAGUGCAUUCUUAUUUUUAUGCUUUGUUCUGGCUUACGCUAGCAGUUUUGAAGAAGACUUCACUUCUGAUGAUGAAUCAAGUGGAACGUGCCGAGCAGAAUACACAAAAUGUAUGAAAGCUGCAAGCGAUGUCAAACAAAAAGUACAGUGUCUUAAAGGACGUACAAUGUGCUAUUCCACCUGCGUGAAACAGUGUCACGUGGAACGAAGAAAAUGUGCUGAUGCAGCAUCAACCAUACGAGAGCGACUUGCGUGUAGUAGUAAAGGGGUGAAAUGUGCAAUUGGCUGUUGACACUAAUUACAACGUCUAAUUAAAGUUAACUAGAAGAAAAUGCGUCAUUUAUAA